ACUCCUACGGGAGGCAGCAGUAGGGAAUCUUCCACAAUGGGCGAAAGCCUGAUGGAGCAACGCCGCGUGGGUGAAGAAGGUCUUCGGAUCGUAAAACCCUGUUGUUAGAGAAGAAAGUGCGUGAGAGUAACUGUUCACGUUUCGACGGUAUCUAACCAGAAAGCACGGCUAACUACGUGCCAGCAGCCGCGGUAAUACGUAGGUGGCAAGCGUUAUCCGGAUUUAUUGGGGCGUAAAGGGAACGCAGGCGGUCUUUUAAGUCUGAUGUGAAAGCCUUCGGCUUAACCGGAGUAGUGCAUUGGAAACUGGGAGACUUGAGUGCAGAAGAGGAGAGUGGAACUCCAUGUGUAGCGGUGAAAUGCGUAGAUAUAUGGAAGAACACCAGUGGCGAAAGCGGCUCUCUGGUCUGUAACUGACGCUGAGGUUCGAAAGCGUGGGUAGCAAACAGGAUUAGAUACCCUGGUAGGAUAGCG
rnacentral:rRNA from 1 species